UAGGGAAUAUUAGUAAUGGGCGAAAGCCUGAACUAGCAACGCCGCGUGUGCGAAGAAGGCCUUCGGGUUGUAAAGCACUUUUUGAGAGGAUGAGGAAGGACGGUACUCUCAGAAUAAGUCUCGGCUAACUACGUGCCAGCAGCCGCGGUAACACGUAGGAGGCGAACGUUAUCCGGAUUUACUGGGCGUAAAGCGCGUGUAGGUGGUUUGGUAAGUAGGGCGUGAAAGCUCCUGGCUCAACUGGGAGAGGCCGUUCUAAACUGCCGAGCUAGAGGAGAGUAGAAGGAGGUGGGAUUACGUGUGUAGCGGUAGAAUACGCAGAUAGCCGGUGGAACACCAGUGGCGAAAGCGUCCUCCUGGACCUCUCCUGACGCUCAGAAGCGAAGGCUAGUGUAGC
rnacentral:rRNA from 1 species